CCUGGGCUCUAAGCGAUCCUCCUGCCUCAGCCUCCCCCAGAUGUAGAAACUGAAGUAAGUUCACAGAGCUAAGACUCUAAUCUGUCUCUGAGUCACAGAGCCCUGGCAGAGACCAAAGCCAAAACCUCUAAUCCCAGGCCCCUCAAGUGGCCUCAUCUGUGUUUGUACCUGCCUGUCCUGCCUAUGCCAUCCACCCCCACAGAUCAGAUGAACAAGCUGUGUCUUGAUGCCAGAUCCCAGUAUAGUUGCCAGCUGGUCGAUGUGUUGCAAGAACAUGACUUGCCCAGCAGCCUGAGGCUUUAACCCACAGCAAUUCAGGCACCAAAGCUGGCAGUUUGGAAGAUGUUCGGGGGCAGCAGGCUCCCUGAAACCAUGUGGGCGGCUGCCCUGCCUGUUCCCAGCUGGCCUGCAGCUCAGAACGCGUGAUUUCAGAUGCCCCAGGAAGGACCACCCUCCCCUGCUCACUGGUGCCAAAACAGUGGUGGAAAUGACAGCUCUGCACCUCGUGGUCAGAGAGAAGGAACAAGUGCCCUGAGAGCCGACACCAGUUGCCCCGACACCAGUUGCCCCGCAGUCAGCCGGCCCCUUCCUGGAAGUGGAGCUGUAUUCACCUUUUUAGUAUGGAGCUGCCCCAGCACACACGGAAGGAGCAUUGAGAAUCCCAGCUCGGGAAUCCUUAACACGUGGCUCCUCCGGCUUCAGCUCUGCCCCCUUCCUGCCCACUGGGUGCCACUGGAGCAGACUGCGCUGGUUUUAUAGGGAGAGGGGGGAGAAGUGCCCUGGAAGUUAGUGGGUCCGGGGUGGCUGCUCCCAGGACAGGGAUGGGCUCCAGGCUCUGCUGCGCAGGGGGAGGGGCUGGCUGAGGGAGCCAGGCCCCACGUCCUGCCCCGACCCACCUCUCUUUGUUUUCGUCCCCCCUUCCCCCCUCACUCGCAAUAAAAACAUAAUUAUGGGGCUUUAUUUUAAAAAAAGGCAAAUUAUGGUGACAUGCUUUAAUUAUCUGCCUAGCAAUGGCGGGCUGAAUUACAUAGACAGGGCCUUGGAGGUUACCUAAAAAUAAAGCAAGAAGCCUCAUUAGAUGCUAAUUGCUGCUUUUGCCAACUGAAGUGAGAUGCUGGUGCUGUGUGCCAUUCAGUGCCAGCCUGGGGGGGCAGCCCUGCGGCUACGCAGGAAGGCAGGGAGGAGCCCUCCGAGUCCAGGAGCUGCCUUGGUGUCCCCUCCAUUCUCAGUGGGCGGAUGGAAACCUGGGGCUGGGCGGAGGGAGCAGCAAGAAGACCCUCUAAGACCCUGGUGCGCAUGGGGCCUGAGAAGGCAGGAAGGGAGGACAGACCACAGGGCACCAGAACUCAGAACCAGCCCCUCUGAGCUGGAAGGGACCCAGGACUCCAGUUUGUCGCCUGCUUGUGAAGCUGGCUGCUCUGGGUUCCAAGGAACUCCGCAAAGGCGUCCGUGUGUCAGCUGGUCUGGCAGCUCAGCAGGCUCCUGCUCAGGCUGGCACAGCCCGGUUUGGGGUUCGAGCCCCAGGCAAGCUCGUGAGUGGGCAUUGUCGUUCCCUCCCGGCUUCAUAAACCCGAGGGCUGGUGCCACACCUGGCCCACUGGGCUAACGGAUCCUCUGAGGAGCUUUGAAAAUGUGCCGGCGCCCCCGCAGAGGUUGAGACGGAGUGUUCUAGAGAAGGCCCGGUCUAAAAAUUCCUGGUGGUAAAAAACAGUACCCUUCAGAGGUAGAGCGUCCACUGGCCAAAUCCCUUCUGCCCGGCCUUGAGGAGGCCGCGGCCCGGAGAGGAGUGAGCACAGAGCCUGCGGAGACCCCGCGGCCUGCACAGAGCGAUGGUCUCUGGGGGCUGCUGGCUCCCUGUCCAGGCUGCCGGGGACCAUGACGCCCUCACCUUGUUGAAAUACGAAAUGCUGAAGAUACUGAGCACCUGUGCACUUUUCUUGGGUGUCCCACCUAAACCCCGGCGUUCAUAGCUGAGGCUGUAGCCAGCCUGCCCAGGAAUGGCCCACGCAUCUUGCCACCACGCACCUGGGCCCACCCGUGCGACGCCAGCCCUGCCCUGGCUGGCGUGCGUCUUCCAGGUGAUGGGCCGGGGCGCCAGCGGUGCCCCCUUCCCAGCUGCCGGAGCAAGUGCGCCCGCCAGAGGCCUGCUGGGACCUGGUCCUUCUUGUCCACCUCAGGCCCACGGGCCCCCACACCUCGGGCUCAGCUGCCCGGGCCACACACACCCAAAGCCUCCCUACUUAACCCACCUCACUGCCAUCGUCACUUUACUGUGGGACAGUCUGACUCGGAAGCUCCCUCGGGGUAGGGCUGUGUCCCCACCCACAGGGGACCCCGACGCCCUGGGCAGGCGGGACUAGGCCAGCCUUGGUCUCCUGGUCUGAGCCGCACGUGGCCUGCCCUGGCUCCCACGGCCUCCACCUCCUCCCCCCGCAGGAGGCCUUGACAUCUGAGCCUGCCCCUCGCAGCCUGGGUAGGACCGGCCUCCCACUGUUCCCUGGAGCCAGGCAGCAGAGGGGCUCGGAGGGAAGUAAUUCUCCCCUUGGAAGCUAGAUGGAGGCCCCACAGACGUGAGGGCACUCGCUGAGCUGCGCAGCAAACCCAGCUCCCCGCCCAGCCUCACGAGGGCAGGGGCCGGAGAGGGGCGGCGUGCUAGGUCGGUGCUGGCAGAGAAGCAGCCAGGGAGAGAGCUGGCUGUACCCCCUUCUGCAUCCAGCCCCUCCUCCCCGCACACCAAUGCUGCCCUGGAAGCUUCUGGCAAACACUGUUGGUCCAGUAACCUAAUUUUGCCUGACUAGGCUGGAGCAAUUCUGGGUGGUUUAGGGACCACACUGCACAAGUAGGGUGAUCGGUGAGAGUCACCCUUUGCUCUCUCCCUCCCCUACCCAGUUAUUUAUUGAGCAUGUACUAGGUGCUGCAAACAGACCCCCGGGAGAUUUGCUGAGCACCUGCGUGUGGGUGGGAGUAAGCAUGGGCUUAUCAAGGGGGCACUAACGCCUGGCUCCCUGCCCAGGGUCCCUCCAGUGCCCUGGCCACCGUGCCCCACAUGGUCAGCUAGCCAUGGAGGGGGGAGGGAAGGGCGGGGAGGCAGCCUGAGCUCCAGCUGCUGCCUGUGGCCUCAUGGUGUCGCUGGCUCUGUAAUUUACCCCUGGCAGAGCCCAGCCCCUGAGCCACUUCUGCGCCCCACCUCCCAACCUGCCAAGGAAGCCUGCUGGCCUGGGACGGGCAUCCUCAUGACUCGGGUGUGACGUGGACUCACAUUCACUUGGGCUCAGACAGACAGGCAGACAGACACUCACGCAGGACAAACAUGUAUCUGGGGGCAUCAGGCGUACACACAGAUGCGGCCAAAACAGACACUCGCAAGCAGGCUGAGUGUGCCACACACCCCACGCCCAUACUGUGUACUCAGGGACCCACGUGGACACACAUGCCACACUCUGACCUCCAGGACAGACAGACAUCAUCUUAGCACCUGGACCUGGAGACAAGAGGCAGGGAGGGCGGCAGGGGGUGGCAGCCCCAGAAGCCAACUGCUCAACAGGAGGAUUUCCUGGCAGGCAGAGAGGCUCAGGCAUAGGGGUGGGGUGCGCCCCUCCCUUGGGACUGCAGGCCAGGGGACCACCAGGUGUUGAUUUCUGGAAUGCCCUGCAACGUCUGCCCCUCACCUGGAAAGCUGGCCCCACCCUGCCCAAGGCCUCUCCGCGGCGCACUAACCCCAGCUCGAGGAGCGGCCUCCAUCUCCCAU